rnacentral:rRNA from 1 species
AUUGCACGCUGGCGGCAAGCCUAACACAUGCAAGUCGAACGAGUGGCGGACGGGUGAGAAAUGUCUGGGAAACUGCCUGAUGGAGGGGGAUAACUACUGGAAACGGUAGCUAAUACCGCAUACCAUCGGAUGUGCCCAGAUGGGAUUAGCGAGUAGGUGGGGUAAAGGCUCACCUAGGCGACGAUCCCGAGCUGGUCUGAGAGGAUGACCAGCCACACUGGAACUGAUACACGGUCCAGACUCCUACGGUAGGCCGCAGUGGCGAAUAUUGCACAAUGGGCGCAAGCCUGAUGCAGCCAUGCCGCGUGUAUGAAGAGGGCCUUCGGGUUGUAAAGUACUGUCAGCGGGGAGGCGUUACCCGCAGAAGAAGCACCGGCUAACUCCGUGCCAGCAGCCGCGGUAAUAC